AACGCUAGCUACAGGCUUAACACAUGCAAGUCGAGGGGCAUCAGGAAGAAAGCUUGCUUUCUUUGCUGGCGACCGGCGCACGGGUGAGUAACACGUAUCCAACCUGCCGAUGACUCGGGGAUAGCCUUUCGAAAGAAAGAUUAAUACCCGAUGGCAUAGUUCUUUCGCAUGGUGGAACUAUUAAAGAAUUUCGGUCAUCGAUGGGGAUGCGUUCCAUUAGGUUGUUGGCGGGGUAACGGCCCACCAAGCCUUCGAUGGAUAGGGGUUCUGAGAGGAAGGUCCCCCACAUUGGAACUGAGACACGGACCAGACUCCUACGGGAGGCAGCAGUAAGGAAUAUUGGUCAAUGGGCGGGAGCCUGAACCAGCCAAGUCGCGUGAAGGAAGAAGGAUCUAUGGUUCGUAAACUUCUUUUGCAGGGGAAUAAAGUGCAGGACGUGUCCUGUUUUGUAUGUACCUUGAGAAUAAGGAUCGGCUAACUCCGUGCCAGCAGCCGCGGUAAUACGGAGGAUCCGAGCGUUAUCCGGAUUUAUUGGGUUUAAAGGGUGCGUAGGUGGUUUGAUAAGUCAGCGGUGAAAGUUUGCAGCUUAACUGUAAAAUUGCAGUUGAUACUGGAUGUCUUGAGUGCAGUUGAGGCAGGCGGAAUUCGUGGUGUAGCGGUGAAAUGCUUAGAUAUCACGAAGAACUCCGAUUG
rnacentral:rRNA from 1 species